rnacentral:rRNA from 1 species
GACGAACGCUGGCGGCGCGCCUAACACAUGCAAGUCGAACGGAGCUGUUUUCUCUGAAGUUUUCGGAUGGAAGAGAGUUCAGCUUAGUGGCGAACGGGUGAGUAACACGUGAGCAACCUGCCUUUCAGUGGGGGACAACAUUUGGAAACGAAUGCUAAUACCGCAUAAGACCACAGUGUCGCAUGGCACAGGGGUCAAAGGAUUUAUCCGCUGAAAGAUGGGCUCGCGUCCGAUUAGCUAGAUGGUGAGGUAACGGCCCACCAUGGCGACGAUCGGUAGCCGGACUGAGAGGUUGAACGGCCACAUUGGGACUGAGACACGGCCCAGACUCCUACGGGAGGCAGCAGUGGGGAAUAUUGCACAAUGGGGAAACCCUGAUGCAGCGAACGCCGCGUGAGCGAAGAAGUAUUUCGGUAUGUAAAGCUCUAUCAGCAGGGAGAAAAUGACGGUACCUGACUAAAGAAAGCCCCGGCUAACUACGUGCCAGCAGCCGC